CUGGCUGCUACCGUAACCGUCCUUCUGGUCGUCGCCGUUGUUCUGCCCGCCGGCGAAGUUUGAUCUGCUGCGCCACAUCGUCCGCGAUGUGUCCUAGUCUCGUAGUCUCGUCUCUUCUAACCCUGCAUGAUCGAUAGCCUAAUUUCAGGUGGUCACAAACAAAAAGCGAGGGGUUUCUAACCCUGCAUGAUCGAUAGCCUAAUUUCAGGUGGUCACAAACAAAAAGCGAGGGGUAGUACGAAUAACACUGCUUGCAUGCACGUCAAAUAUUUGAUGCAUGGAGUACUGAAAGAUAUUUGGAGACAAAAGAUAUACUUAGAACAGUAAAAAGUGAAAAUAAAGGGAAGAAAAGAAGAGGCUUUAAUUUGGCAGCAUGCACGCGUUCGUACCCG
rnacentral:lncRNA from 1 species